rnacentral:rRNA from 1 species
ACACCAUGGGAGUGGGGUGCACCAGAAGUAGGUAGGCUAACCGNAAGGGGGCCNCCUACCACGGUGCNCUUCAUGACUGGGGUG